GCUCAGGAGUUCUGAGAGCUCUCUGGAAGUCCUGCAGAAUCAUGGACACAAAAUUUGGGGACUCAUCUGGGAUUCCCAAGAGGAUCUCUGGAAUCUGCAGUCUUGGGAGUCUAAAACUGGGGUCAAGAAGACGUCCCUGACCCCAGGUCCUGGGUGGAUGCAGUUCCCGCCCAUCAGUUAGAAUUGCUUGAAGAGACCUCGGCACAAUCUGCUUCAGUAUCCACCUCUCUUCCACUUUCUGAGGUGAGAGUCUGUGAGUCCUAGUGUUUGGAUUUACUCGUGUUUCCAGUCAUGAAGUGGCUAUAUCGUGUGUGUGGUUUUUGUCAGUGGUGAUUCUGUUAGUGCUUAGUCUUGUGUUGUUCUGGAUGGUGACAGACACAACACUCACUCAGAUGUUAACUCUCACUCUCUUCCCUCCCACCCCAUUAACAUUGUUUUAGCUCACUUAAAGGAAGUGAAAAUCAGAGCUCACAAUCUCUCAAUGGACGUGAGAAAGAAGGAAAUGCACAAAUUUUGCAGAUUGGAGUGAUCUACUUUCAGAGUGGGAUGGCCAGCGGAGGAAACUUUCCAACUCCUCACGGUGAUAGAGGUAGAAGACAAAGAAUUUUAGAAAGCACAGGGGCAUCCAGAACAAGUUCUCUCUCUACAUUGUAGUCUGGAAAGAUUUGGAUGCCAACCUAUCACCUUGGGUGAAAUCAUGUUUACUACCUCUUACCAACGCUACUUAGCCUCCAGGAACCAUGCCCACAUCGAUGACAGAAGAACAAAAGUGGGAAGUCUCCAAGUCUUCUAAACCCCUCUAUCCUAUUUUACAGGACAGUACACCAGAAGAAGUAAUUUUCCCACUGCCUUACACUCAGGCACCAACUCUGACAGAGGCAGCAGCCCCUGCCUUGGUUGAGACCUCCCCUCCCACUGUGUCUCUGCCUAGUGGUCCUCCACAGGUGUACUUAAUCCCAGUGUUUCCACCUCUGCCCCUUGCACAGAUGACAAGAGACUGGUGUCAGAGGAUUCCAUGGUAAUAAAGCCACAUCCUCAUAUUUCCUUCAAAUGACACUGAAAAAUUGUCUCAGAGCCCAGUGACAAAUACUUGUCAAAUUUCUAUAAGCACCAAAAGCUCUCCACACAUUUCAAUAAGGAAAAAGAAACUCAAGGAAUAGCACAUGCUGGCAAGAAUGUGGAGGAAGGGAAGCACUCCUCAAUUGCUGCUGUGAGUGCAAACUUCUAGAACCACUCUCAAAAUCAGUUUGGCACUUUCUUAGAAAAUAGAGAAUAGUUCUACCUCAAGACCCAGUUAUAUACCUGUCGCAAGCCCUCUGGUCCCCUGUGCCUGCGUAAGAAAAGGUCUCUAGAGUAGAUGGGCAGAGAUAAGAUGUAGUGACAGACAGUCGAACACGGAGAAUGGUGUUGGAUCUGAAUGUAUUCUUCUGGUUGAGCUUCAGACUUAUAUAACAACGAAUUAUCAGAGGAUACAAAUCACAAAAAGACAAGAUACACUGAAAUUCACCAGUUACAGCAGAAAGGAAUUUACAGGGACUAAUUAAAUGUUUACAUUAGGGAUAACAAGCCCUGCCUAGGAUCAGCCUAAUGUCAGGCAAGAAAUUCACACUUUAAGGUUAAAAGCAUCAGGGGGUUGUUAACUCUUGACAGGCCUUAAGAGUAAUGCACUAUCACAGAGCUCUAAAUUCUUAGGUCUAGUAAAACUUAUCUUGUCUGGAGAGUUUCCCCUUAUCAGGGUAGUAUAUCAACUAUACUUGACAUAGAAUGUAGCCUGUAGUAAAAGAUUUCUAUCUCAGUGAGACUUUUAGUCUCUAUCUACAGACAGCUGAGUAAAUGACAGAUGUUUAUAUUGUUUUAUGAUGGGGCUAAUUAGUUACUGAAUAGGUUAAGCUCCUUGCUGCUAUCUGGAAUCUAAGAACACUGGAAAAAGGCUUUAGCUAUGUUAGAAUACAGUCUUAAAAGGCAUUUACUAUAAGGUAAUACUAUAUAGAGUGCACGUGAAUCUAUACACUAGAUUAAUGUGGUGGAAAUUUGAAUAUAAUGGGUUAGGGAAAGAGAUGCCAUAACUCUGGGAGGAAAAUUUCCCUGGACUCUUAUCCUCGUGAAACAGCUUCCAGGCUUUUCGCCUGACAAACCGAUCCAAACUGGAGAGUUGGCUUUCGCCAGAAUAUCCAGGAGGAGAGUCCUAGAAAUUCAUUUCUCAUGAGCAGCUUUUUGGCAUUUCUGCCUCACAAGCUGACUCCACCAGAGUAUCCUGACAUAUACCUAUGCUGGGUAUAUAUCCCAAAAAUGUCCCACUAUACCCCAAAGAUACUUGCUAUAUGUUCAUAAAGCUUUAUUCAUAAUAGCCAGAAACUGAAAACAAUUCAGAUGUCCCACAACUGAAGAAUGGAUAAUGAAAAUGUGGUUCAUUUACACAAUGGAAUAUUACUCACCUAUUAAAUGGCAGCUACCACAAUGGCAUUAUGAAUUUUGCAGGCAAAUGAAUGUAACUAGAAAAUAUUAUCCUGAGUCAAGAUACCCAGACAUGCAUGGUAUCCUCACUUAUAAGUGCAUAUUAGCCACAAAGUACGGGAUAACCAUGCUAUAACCCGCAGACCCAAAGAAACCAAAUAAGCAGAGCCUAGGGGAAGAUUGUUGAAUCUUCUUUUAGAAGGGGAAAUAAAAGGUAGAUAAAGGAAGGGAAGUGAUGAGGG
rnacentral:lncRNA from 1 species